rnacentral:rRNA from 1 species
UACGAAGGGGGCUAGCGUUGUUCGGAAUUACUGGGCGUAAAGCGCACGUAGGCGGAUAUUUAAGUCAGGGGUGAAAUCCCAGAGCUCAACUCUGGAACUGCCUUUGAUACUGGGUAUCUUGAGUAUGGAAGAGGUAAGUGGAAUUGCGAGUGUAGAGGUGAAAUUCGUAGAUAUUCGCAGGAACACCAGUGGCGAAGGCGGCUUACUGGUCCAUUACUGACGCUGAGGUGCGAAAGUGUGGGGAGCAAACAGG